AGUCGAACGAAGAGCGAUGGAAGCUUGCUUCUAUCAAUCUUAGUGGCGAACGGGUGAGUAACGCGUAAUCAACCUGCCCUUCAGAGGAGGACAACAGUUGGAAACGACUGCUAAUACCGCAUACGAUCUAAUCUCGGCAUCGAGGAUAGAUGAAAGGUGGCCUCUACAUGUAAGCUAUCACUGAAGGAGGGGAUUGCGUCUGAUUAGCUAGUUGGAGGGGUAACGGCCCACCAAGGCGAUGAUCAGUAGCCGGUCUGAGAGGAUGAACGGCCACAUUGGGACUGAGACACGGCCCAGACUCCUACGGGAGGCAGCAGUGGGGAAUCUUCCGCAAUGGACGAAAGUCUGACGGAGCAACGCCGCGUGAGUGAUGACGGCCUUCGGGUUGUAAAGCUCUGUUAAUCGGGACGAAAGGCCUUC
rnacentral:rRNA from 1 species